rnacentral:tRNA from 1 species
AUUGGUGUGGCUUAGUGGAAAGAGUAUGGGCUUGGGAGUCAGAGGUCGUGGGUUCUAAUCCCACCUCCGCCA